GGAGACAGAUCCGUCUUGUGUGCCUGUGUCUGUGUCUGUGUGCGUGUGUGGUUUUUUGGUUUUCUAGCCAGUCUGAUCUGCUCCAAGAAACACUGAGAUGUUCUUCCGCAUUCCUCUCCUGACACCAGGAUACAUUCGAUACCUGCAGACUCAGACAGCGCGGACCAGUAUGCAGAGGGAGGGGCCUGCUGUACCCCGUCUUGCCAUGCUGCUAGGCCUUGUGGGUAUAGGGAUGUCAGGAUACAGCUCUCGCCAGCUGACCUUAUAUCACAAGCCAUCAUCACAUCUCCUGCGGUGAAACAAAAAGCAGCAAACAGAGAGAAAGCCCAUAGCUUUUGUAUAAAGAUCCUAAAGAAGACCAACAGAUUCUCCAAAGUCAAUGCAAACCAGCCAACAACAAAUCCAGCAGCCAACAAGACUAGCACAGCUGUCACAGCUCAAACAUCACGAUGAAGUAUGACUCCAGUUUUUAUUGAUUUUCUUAAAGAAAUUUUAAGAGACAUAUUGCUCUAAUGAAUAGAGCCAUUUAAGCAGGUCACCUUCAUAGCUAUGAGUCACAGUCACUAUUUACAGGACACGGAUUCAUCUUUAAUAUACAUUUAGCAUUUAA